AUGAGUUUAAGUUAUAUAGACUGAAUAUUUUCAAAAUAUUUAGAGGCCAUGGGCCUUCUCAUG
rnacentral:tRNA from 1 species